UGGAAAUUGUGUAUAGAAUGAAGGGGGUCCCCCUCCUUAUAGAGGCCUCAAUCCCGUUUUAGGUAAUGCCUAUCCAAUUAUGACUCAUCAUGACCAAUAGGAUUUUAGAAAAUCUAUGAGAUGAGAGAUGAUUAAAUCCAACUCAUCCAUCCCAUUAGAAGAAUUGGCAAUGUAGAAUUUCAGGCUCUAAAUUCAAAUAAAAAAAAUCAGUUUUUUAUUAAUUGAUGGAAAUUCUGCUUACAGGUGUCACAAAUGGUAUAGAAUAGAUCUUUCUAUGGUCUACGAUCUUAAUAACGUACAGCCAAAAUGAAAUUUAUUUAAACUGAAUACAAACUUAGCAAUUCUAUGAAAUAAAUAAAACAAGAACAACGGUAAAAAAAUAUUAAAUAAAUAUGGGAAGACUAAUUGACAUUUGCCAAGGGUUGGCCCCCUUAAGGCAUAGCACAUCCCACAUCCAAUCACCUCCAACGAUGCACUUUGAUCCUGAAACCUACUGAAUCCACCGAUAUGAAAUGAGAAGCACUUCAAGGACUCCCUUUCUUAAACUUAUAUGGCAAGAGAGUCAAGGUUAUAAUUAGGGUUUCACAAAAAACCUCGUUUUUAACCUUGCGACAUAUGCCAUGAUUAGCACCUCACCUAAAACUAAAGCUAAGAGCAAGUGUGCCCCCUCUUGUUCUCUCUUCUUUAUGCUGGUGUACCUCCCUAGGCAAUUAGGGAGCAUGGCGUGCCCCUUUUAAGAGAGAGAGAGAGAGAGAGAUAGAGAGAGCAUGAGAGACAGAGAAUGACAUGGAGAGGAAAGAGAGAGGGGAGAGAUUUGUUGCGUUGAAUGACGGGGAGAUCCCCCUUAUUUAUCCUCUAGGGCUUAGGGAGUUCCAGUGAGACUAGGAGUUCAACAUUAUCUAGGAUUUUUAGGAGAUAUGUGAGGUGAAAGAAGAUUUAAUCCAUGCCAUUCAUCUCCAAGAUCAGCCAUCAUGAUCGCGAGUGAAUCUUUAAGAACCUUAUCUCUUGAGAUUUGACCUAUACCCACUUCUAAAUAAUCUAGGUUUUGUCUCAUCGUAAUCUUUAUCUUCUAGAAACAUUCUAUAGAAUCUAGAGUAAUUAGAUUAUUCUAGAUUUCCUAUUAUCACAUAUGGAUAAUUAAAAAAUAAAAUAAUGAUCAAAAUCUAGAUCCCCUUAAAUCUUUCACGAAAAUUAUUUCGAAAUAUUUUCAACUAACAAAAUCUUUUUAUAGAAUAUUAUAUCACAAAUAAAUCCCAUUUAAAUAGGAAAUAUUUGGGAAUCCCACCAAGAGGGGCGUGUGGCCCACGUGGGCUCCACAUGAAACCUAGUGGGCCGCACAAGUGAGGGGCACGUGGUCCAACCACAUAAAACUAUGAGUACUUAGUGAACAAAUUGUUGAUCAUAUGUGUGGACGCUCAAGUUUGAAGUUUGUGUUUUUUUGUAGGGAAGUUAACUAACCUUAAAUAACAAGUGAGUUACAUCAAUACCGUGAGGUCCAUAGAGUAUGGACCUCGGUAAAAAUGUGGUCCCUGAGAGGAGGACCACAAAGAAACCUGCCCUACGAAAAUAAGAAGAAGGAUUAGUGGAGAUGGAAGUGAGUAGGGCUUAUGGGAAUGCCCAAUUACAAUGGCGGACUAAAAAGGAUUGCAUGGUAGGGGCUUAUAAUUUUGCCCAUUUACACACUACUUCCAUUUAGUUGUGUUGCCGAGCUGCUUCUUUAGCGAGUGCGUCUGCCAUUGCUUCUUUAGCUGCUCAAGUUUGAAGUUCGUUAAAAGCAUUGUAAACAUAUUUUUAAUUAUUUGGUUGGCGAUCAGUCUUAGUUGCAUUCUACCUGGAGGGAUAUUCUUGUCCUUUCUAGACUCGAAUGUAGGGUGAUUUACCCCUCGUAUUUUAUUAAGGAGAAUCAAUUAUUCUUUCAGUUCUUUCAUUUCAGACACUUAAAGUAAAUUUACAAC
rnacentral:lncRNA from 1 species